rnacentral:tRNA from 1 species
GGGAUCGUCGUCUAAUGGCUAAGGCUUUCGGCUUCUACCCGAAUAAUUGGGGGUUCAAGUCCCUCCGAUCCCG